AACGAACGUUGGCGGCGUGGAUGAGGCAUGCAAGUCGAACGCGAAAGCCGCAAGGUGAGUAGAGUGGCGGACGGGCGAGUAACACGUAAUCAAGCUGCCUGCGAGACGGGGAUAACUUCGGGAAACCGAAGCUAAGACCCGAUGGUCUGCACGGACCGCAUGGUUUGUGCAGUAAAUGGGCGGGAUCCUCCGGGAUCGCCUGCUCGCAGAGGUGAUUGCGGCCCAUCAGCUAGUUGGUAGGGUAAUGGCCUACCAAGGCUACGACGGGUAGCCGGCCUUAGAGGGUGGUCGGCCGCACUGGGACUGAGACACUGCCCAGACUCCUACGGGAGGCUG
rnacentral:rRNA from 1 species